rnacentral:lncRNA from 15 species
CUCAGGAAGCAAGAUGCUUACUAACGUGAGGGGGCUUGAACUCACGCUCACUCAGCUGGACCGCUUUCCUAAAAUGUACAACCCUCUCAUCUUGCCUCUGUGAGCCAACUCUCCAGAAGCUAUUUGUCACAAGCAGAUGUUUCAGAGAACCAUGACCUCCAAAGUGUGGUUGCUGGGGAAUGGGAGCUUGGCGCCAGUUCUGAUUGGAAACCUGCAGAGCAGAGAGGGCAUGGUCAAGGAUUUAAUAAAGAUUUUGAGACUGAAGCUGAUGACGAGUCUAUUUCCCUGGACUUGAGUCAGCUGUUUCUCCAUCUGGCAUUCCAGCACCUGGGGUAAGCCUUCCUCUACAAACUGCUUUCCCCCGCCUUUCCAAGGUCUCCCUGUGUAAACUGAUUUUCCAUUUUUG